UGGGGAAUAUUGCACAAUGGGGGAAACCCUGAUUCAGCUACGCCGCGUAAACGAAGAAGGUAUUCUUAUCGUAAAGUUCUUUCCUAUGUGAAGAUAAUGACAGUACCAUAGAAGAAAGCUCCGGCUAAAUACGUGCCAGCAGCCGCGGUAAUACGUAUGGAGCGAGCGUUGUCCGGAAUUAUUGGGCGUAAAGGGUACGCAGGCGGUUUAAUAAGUCGAAUGUUAAAGAACGGGGCUAAAACCAGAAAAGCAUUGGAAACUGAUAAACUGGAGUAGUGGAGAGGAAAGUGGAAUUCCUAGUGUAGUGGUGAAAUACGUAGAUAUUAGGAGGAAUACCAGUAGCGAAGGAGACUUUCUGGAAACAAACUGACGCUGAGGUAAGAAAGCGUGGGGAGAAAAAAGG
rnacentral:rRNA from 1 species